GAGAACUUAGUUAAACUAUAACAUUAUCUUGUCAAGAUAGAAUCAUGGGUUAAAACCCCAUACUUCUCU
rnacentral:tRNA from 1 species